rnacentral:rRNA from 1 species
UACCAGCACCCCCGAGUGGUCGGGACGUUUAUUGGGCCUAAAGCAUCCGUAGCCGGUUCUACAAGUCUUCCGUUAAAUCCACCUGCUUAACAGAUGGGCUGCGGAAGAUACUAUGGAGCUAGGAGGCGGGAGAGGCAAGCGGUACUCGAUGGGUAGGGGUAAAAUCCGUUGAUCCAUUGAAGACCACCAGUGGCGAAGGCGGCUUGCCAGAACGCGCUCGACGGUGAGGGAUGAAGCUGGGGGAGCAAACCGG